rnacentral:ncRNA from 1 species
UUCUUCGGGGCAGGGUGAAAUUCCCUACCGGCGGUAUAGCCCGCGACCCGCUUCGGCGGCUGACCUGGUGUGAUUCCAGGGCCGACAGUAUAGUCUGGAUGUGAGAAGAA